UACGAAGGGGGCUAGCGUUGCUCGGAAUCACUGGGCGUAAAGCGCACGUAGGCGGAUUGUUAAGUCGGGGGUGAAAUCCUGGAGCUCAACUCCAGAACUGCCUUCGAUACUGACGAUCUCGAGUCCGGGAGAAGGUGAGUGGAACUCCGAGUGUAGAGGUGAAAUUCGUAGAUAUUCGGAAGAACACCAGUGGCGAAGGCGGCUCACUGGACCGGUAUUGACGCUGAGGUGCGAAAGCGUGGGGAGCAAACAGG
rnacentral:rRNA from 1 species